CACGGAGUUAGCCGGUGCUAUUACUCUGGUACCGUCAUCCCGCUUGUCGCGUCUUUCGUCCCAGAUUCAGAGGUUUACGAUCCGAAAACCUUCAUCCCUCACGCGGCGUCGCUCCAUCAGGCUUGCGCCCAUUGUGGAAGAUUCCUAACUGCUGCCUCCCGUAGGAGUGGGACCCGUGUCUCAGUGCCCCUGUGGCCGGCCACCCUCUCAGGCCGGCGAUCCGUCGUCGCCUUGGUGGGCCUUUACCCCGCCAACUAGCUGAUGGAACGCAACCCCAUCCCCAAACGAUCAAGUCUUUACUGCAUCCACACGAGGAUGCAGCACAUCACGUAUUAGCGUGCCUUUCGGCGCGUUAUCCGCGACUUGGGGGUAGGUCAGUUACGCGUUACUCACCCGUGCGCCACUGCCUGACCGAAAUCAGGCCGUUCGACUUGCAUGUCUUAAGCACGCCGCCAGCGUUCACCCUGAGCCAGGAUCAAACUCU
rnacentral:rRNA from 1 species